GAUGAAUGCUGGCGGCGUGCCUAAUACAUGCAAGUCGAGCGGUAACACUUCGGGUGACGAGCGGCGGACGGCAGAGUAACGCGUAGGAACGUACCCCAAACUGAGGGAUAACGCACCGAAAGGUGUGCUAAUACCGCAUGUGAUCUUCGGAUUAAAGCUUCGGCGGUUUGGUAACGGCCUGCGUAUGAUUAGCUUGUUGGUGAGGUAAUGGCUAACCAAGGCGACGAUCAUUAGCUGGUCUGAGAGGAUGAACAGCCUGACUGGAACUGAGACACGGUCCAGACUCCUACGGGAGGCAGCAGUAGGGAAUUUUCCACAAUGGGCGAAAGCCUGAUGGAGCAACGCCGCGUGCAGGAUGAAGGCCUUCGGGUUGUAAACUGCUUUUGUCUGUGAAGAUUAUGACGGUAGCAGACGAAUAAGGACCGGCUAACUACGUGCCAGCCGCCGCCGUAA
rnacentral:rRNA from 1 species